rnacentral:ncRNA from 2 species
GAGCCAUCCGAGGGGCGCGGGCCUCACCCGCUGAGACUGUGUUGAUCACACGGGCACCCUUUGAACCUGAUCGGUUAACACCGGCGUAGGGACGGAACCUUGCUCUCGA